rnacentral:rRNA from 1 species
UACGGACGGGGCGGGCGUUACUCAUCUUUACUGGGCGUAAAGGGCGCGUAGGUGGCCCGGUCAGUUCGUGGUGAAAGCGCGGGGCUCAACCCUGCGUCGGCCAUGAAUACUGCCGCGGCUGGAGCACUGUAGAGGCAGGCGGAAUUCCGGGUGUAGCGGUGGAAUGCGUAGAGAUCCGGAAGAACACCGGUGGCGAAGGCGGCCUGCUGGGCAGUUGCUGACACUGAGGCGCGACAGCGUGGGGAGCAAACAGG